GUCUAUGGUCAUAACCACCCUGACUGUGCCUGAUCUUAAUUUGAUUUCAGAAGCUAAGUAAGGUUGGGCCUGGUUAGUACUUGGAUAGGAGACCUCCUGCGAAUAGCCGGGUACAGUAGGCC
ensembl:rRNA 5S_rRNA 5S ribosomal RNA